rnacentral:rRNA from 1 species
GUCCUGCGGCAUGCUAUACAUGCAAGUCGAGCGGACCGAACGGAAGCUUGCUUCUGUUCGGUUAGCGGCGGACGGGUGAGUAACACGUGGGUAACCUGCCCGUAAGACCGGGAUAACUCCGGGAAACCGGGGCUAAUACCGGAUAACACCGAAGACCGCAUGGUCUUUGGUUGAAAGGUGGCUUUUGCUACCACUUACGGAUGGGCCCGCGGCGCAUUAGCUAGUUGGUGAGGUAACGGCUCACCAAGGCGACGAUGCGUAGCCGGCCUGAGAGGGUGACCGGCCACACUGGGACUGAGACACGGCCCAGACUCCUACGGGAGGCAGCAGUAGGGAAUCUUCCGCAAUGGGACGAAAGUCUGAGGGAGCGACGCCGCGUGAGCGAAAAAAGGUCUUCGGAUCGUAAAGCUCUGUUGUUAGGGAAAAAAUUUUACCGUUCAAAUAGGGGCGGUACGGGACGGGUGCGGAAGAAGAACC